UAUUAUUAGAAAUGUAAAUUAAAAAAAUAGAGUAGUAUUAGAUAUAUUCUUAAAAUUUAAUAAAUUUGGCGGUAUUUUAAUCUGUUCAGAGGAACUUGUUUUAUAAUUGAUAAUCCUCAUUAAAUCUUACUUAAUUUUGUAUAAUUUGUAUAUCGUCGUCAUAAGAAUUUCUUUAUAAAGAAAAAAUUUUCUAAAAUUUUUAUUAAUAAUAAUGUCAGAUCAAGGUGCAGUUUAUAAUUAAGAAAAAAUGAGUUACAAUAAAAAUAUUUAAUAUGAAUUUUAAAAUUUAAUUUUUAAAUGAAGGUGGAUUUGAUAGUAAAAUAAACUAAAAUAUUUAUUUGAUUUUAGUUAUAAAAUAUGCACAUAUCGCCCG
rnacentral:rRNA from 1 species